rnacentral:rRNA from 1 species
AGAGUUUGAUCAUGGCUCAGGAUGAACGCUAGCUACAGGCUUAACACAUGCAAGUCGGAGGGGAAACGACAUACGAAAGCUUGUCUUUUGAGUGGGCGUCGACCGGCGCACGGGUGAGUAACGCGUAUCCAACCUCGCCCACCACUUGGGGAUAACCUUGCGAAAGUAAGACUAAUACCCAAUGACGUCUCUAGAAGACAUCUGAAAGAGAUUAAAGAUUUAUCGGUGAUGGAUGGGGAUGCGUCUGAUUAGCUUGUUGGCGGGGUAACGGCCACCAAGGCGACGAUCAGUAGGGGUUCUGAGAGGAAGGUCCCCCANAUUGGAACUGAGACACGGUCCAAACUCCUACGGGAGGCA